UUGACCUGACGGACGGCGUCGCCGAGGUCGGGGCGUUCGGUGACGGUCACCCCGGCCUCGGUGAGCAGUUCGGCGCCCUGG
rnacentral:pre_miRNA from 1 species